CCUACGUGAGGCUGCAGUGGGGAAUAUUGCACAAUGGGGGCAACCCUGAUGCAGCCACGCCGCGUGAGUGAAGAAGUAUUUCGGUAUGUAAAGCUCUAUCAGCCGGGAAGAAGAAAGACGGUACCUGACUAAGAAGCCCCGGCGAACUACGUGCCAGCAGCCGCGGUAAUACGUAGGGUGGAAGCGUUAUCCGGAUUUACUGUGUGUAAGGGGAGCGUAGGCGGCGGUGCAAGUCUGAAGUGAAAGCCCGUGGCUCAACCGCGGAACUGCUUUGGAAACUGUAUAGCUUGAGUACUGGAGAGGCAGGUGGAAUUCCUAGUGUAGCGGUGAAAUGCGUAGAUAUUAGGAGGAAUACCAGUGGCGAAGGCGGCCUGCUGGACAGAAACUGACGUUGAGGUUCGAAAGCGUGGGGAGCAAACAGGAUUAGAUACCCCUGUAGUC
rnacentral:rRNA from 1 species